rnacentral:rRNA from 1 species
GACGAACGCUGGCGGCGUGCUUAACACAUGCAAGUCGAACGGAAAGGCCCUGCUUGCAGGGUACUCGAGUGGCGAACGGGUGAGUAACACGUGGGUGAUCUGCCCUGCACUUCGGGAUAAGCUUGGGGAAAUGGGUCUAAUACCGGAUAGGAAACAUCCUUAGUGUGGGGGUUGGAAAGUUUUUUUGGUGUAGGAUGAGCUCGCGGCCUAUCAGCUUGUUGGUGGGGUAAUGGCCUACCAAGGCGGCGAGGGGUAGCCGGCCUGAGAGGGUGUACGGCCACAUUGGGGCUGAGAUACGGCCCAGACUCCCACGGGGGGCAGCAGUGGGGAAUAUUGCACAAUGGGCGCAAGCCUGAUGCAGCGACGCCGCGUGGGGGAUGAAGGCCUUCGGGGUGUAAACUCCUUUCGCUAGUGACGAAGCGUUGUUGUGACGGUACCUAGAUAAGAAGCACCGGCUAACUACGUG